GUGAGGUAAAGGCUCACCAAGACCGUGAUGCAUAGCCGACCUGAGAGGGUAAUCGGCCACACUGGGACUGAGACACGGCCCAGACUCCUACGGGAGGCAGCAGUAGGGAAUCUUCCACAAUGGACGAAAGUCUGAUGGAGCAACGCCGCGUGAGUGAAGAAGGUUUUCGGAUCGUAAAACUCUGUUGUUGGAGAAGAAUGUAUCUGAUAGUAACUGAUCAGGUAGUGACGGUAUCCAACCAGAAAGCCACGGCUAACUACGUGCCAGCAGCCGCGGUAAUACGUAGGUGGCAAGCGUUGUCCGGAUUUAUUGGGCGUAAAGCGAGCGCAGGCGGUUUCUUAAGUCUGAUGUGAAAGCCUUCGGCUCAACCGAAGAAGUGCAUCGGAAACUGGGAAACUUGAGUGCAGAAGAGGACAGUGGAACUCCAUGUGUAGCGGUGAAAUGCGUAGAUAUAUGGAAG
rnacentral:rRNA from 1 species